ACUACUUGGGGUCCCCAUGGGGUGGUGCCAGACUACUUGGGGUUCCAUGGCCCACUUUUGGUUUUUUUGUUAAACUGAGCUUAAGACAUUUAAAAUCUAAUUAACCACAUAUUUUAAAUUAUUCAUCAGCGUAAAUGACAUUACAUUUGUAUGGAAGUUUAUUGUACUACCAUUUAACACUGUUUCUUCAGUUACAACAUUCUCCAUCUUUUCUAGGAGUCAGCAGAUCAUGGUAUUUGGUAGGGACGUGUGGCCUAAUGUUUGUAACACCUGAACUCCCAUUCAUGAGGUCAGGGGUUCAGAUCCAGUAAUGGGCAUAUGCUGGGCAACAGUGGUACCCCCUGGAGAUGUUUUGUUUUCAAUUACCUGUUUGCCCUCUGAAUUGGCAGCGUUGAGCUGUACUUGUUCUAGAGCAAGAAUAUUUUGGAUGUUUGGUUUAGUCUUCCAUUAUUUUCUUCCAACUGACAAGCUAAAACAGAUUUUCCUAGCUGUGUUCAGAGGUUGCGAGAUUGUUAGGGGCUUUUUCAGCUGUGAUUGUCAACGGUGAGUCAGCGUUGUUGGACCAGUGGUGCGACAUAUUUUGUCAUAUAAACCACUUUUGUCUCUUGUCAGUCUUCAUAUGCCAAACCAAUUUGUUUACAUGGUCCAAGUCCAUUUGUGUCAGUUUAUCAUGUCAUUAGCUAGGAGUCUUCACUCUGGAGAUGCUUUCUUGAAAACUACGUAUUGUGGUCCCCUUUUUGCUAAAACGUGUGGCAGAUGUGCUGUUUGCAAGAUGUUGUAGGACUGAAAUCCAGUGGAAUGGCUGUGGUUUCUCUCUCGGUUUGGGUUUGGCGUCCUGUCGCAGAUGAGAUUUUUGUUUCAGUUUGAUCAGAAUGGUGGAUGAGUUUCAGGUUGUCUUGAAUUCAGUGUCGGACCACUAGGAGUGAUGUUCAAAUUUUGUAUGGCUCUGUCACGAAAAUGUAGCUUUUUGAGUAUUGGCCGGUCUGUUUUUGAUAACAAAAUAGGCUAUUAACUGCGGAUUAAUUUUUGUGAAGUUGCCAUAAUGAUAACUGCCAAAACUACGAGGCAAGUUUCAGAUUUGGCAGUUUUGGUGGUUCGUUGUGGAAAGUUGUACAGCCAAUCACAGCCAGCGAAAGCUGUGAGGUCAUCGCAAACGCCAGAGGAGCCGACAUCCCUGGAGUUGGAGUCGUCAUGCCAGCGAAUCAUCAUGCAAGAAACGAUGAUGUCAUCAUCAUUGACCUGUGAGGAGACCCAUUUAUACCCAGACUCAGAAGUAGCACCCAACUAAUGUGGCUGUACAAUUAAUCAAAUGCAUAUUCAGUUUCUCACAGCCAAUCAUAUGACAAAAGAAGGAGCUCAUGCAUAUGCAGAGAAGUAUUGUGGUCUUCAGUCCUUCACAGAAGCAAGACAUCAAAGUUGAAUAACAGUUUCACAAAUGAAGCAAACGGGACAAAUCAUUCACAAUCAUCACAACAAAAAGCAGUAAAACUGAUAAACUGAAUGAGAGAAAGCGGGAGAAGCUUUAGCCACUGUCAUGAUUCCACCAAUCAGCUUCCUUGAAGGUUCACCAUGGCAACCAAGAAACAUGAAUUGAGGUGUAGCAAGCAGAGCUAGGCUUAACGAGUUGAUGCUGUGUCUCGGACGGGCAGUUCCCAGCAAGUGAUUUGAACGAGACCAAGCCAAGGAAGAAGCCACUGGAUAAACGUGAAAGUUUCAACAGCAGAAAGUUGAUCUGUACUCCAAAAACUCCACCCAGCUUGGUAUAACUUGAGAUGUUACGGGAGGCAAGGCGGAAAUGUGAAACACCAGUCUGAUCUGGCACUGAACCAUCCUCGUUAGUCUAGUUCCCCGUUCUCUAUUCAUGGAAUGAACACCCCAUCUCCGAGAGGCUCCUGAUGAUCGGUCAUUACCAUGCCUGUGGAACAGUGGUCCCAUGAGCCUGCCCGUGAAGUAGAGUGCUGUCUGAGUACAACAUGACCACAUCCCUGAAGUGACCGAGAGCCGUCAUUUGUAAGCAUGAUCAGUAAAGAUACAAGAAGGUCUCACAGUGAAACCAGAGGCUUCUGUGCUUAGUCAACCAACAAGUUCACAGAACACACUGAUGCUGAAGAAGUCACCCAAUCCUACCCACCCAAUCUCGAUCUUAAAACUCUCCCAGUGUCAUUUUAGAACACCCUCCCCCCCCAAAAAAAAACAUGUUCCCCAGUUGUAAAAGUCACCUCUUCACUUUCCAAUUUCAACAACAUUGGUUACCCCCAUGUUAUCGUGUCCCUAAACAUCGCCGAAUACGAUUGCGUCACAACAUCGACCAACGAAGUGACGAUUGCAGUUGCUUCGUGACCAAGCAACAGAGCCUCGUUGGGAUGAAAAAGAAUUAUGAUGGAGUGGAUGCAGUUGGAAAGCUGAAACUUCACGUUGUCUGACGAGUUGAAGAAACCAACGAGGGUGUGAAUUCCUCCACGUAUGAAGGCCACUCCCUGACCACGUAAUGUUCUUUAGCUACAUGAGUUUUAAGCACUAUACUGUUCUUGUAGUGAACACUCCAAGAAGCUGAAUCUUGUAAAUACAACCCAAAUGCAUAAAAUUGAAAGUUCCAUUUCUCCUCAAUUGUGCACGUCUAAAACAGGCACAUGUACACAUCCCAGGCCAUCAAGGGAACCCCUUUAAUGCUGAUUUUAAACCAGUCAACUCUGAUUGCUUGUCUGCUCCUUACUCUGUCUUGCAAGCAUGCAAUGUAAACAAACACGAGAAAUGUUUUCGUCAAUUCAUGGAAUGUAAUAUUUUGAUGACAAGCCUUUUCUUAUUAGACUGCAUCUUUAUGGAUUUGCAGUACAUUUCAAAAUAGACCUGAGUUUGGCUCUGGCUUUGUGCUUGUAUUUGGGGAAUGUUUUGGGCAGGUGAAAGUACAUGUAGUUACGUUGUAACUCCCGCUAAUUGAUCACAUUUUUCUUCCCUUUUCCAUUAGAUUCUCUUGAAAAUGGUGCUCUGCCAAUUUGGCAUUUUGAUUCAUUUGCAAAGUAUUUAAAAUGUAUGCAAGAAAAAUUAGUAGUGCCAGCUAUUCAGGCUUUUUUUUUUCAGUGAAUAAACAAGUGCAUUCAAGACUGUAAGAUGUUUAUUGAAGCAAUAUAUUGUUAGAAUGAUGAUCUACAUGUAUUUAACGCUAUUUCAACAUUAACCUAAAUGCUGUUAUUCUAAUACUUUCAUUGACGUUCUUCUUGAUAAUUGUUUUCUCUUCGUUUGGCUUUAAAUAUGAAUGGAGGGACUGGAUUUCAUGCACUUUAAUAGACUUUAUAGGUAAUGUAGAUAUCUGUAGGUACAGCAACAUGUUUUAGAAACCUUUUCUUUGAAAUAAGUCUUAACCCUCCAAAUUCCUACAAAACCCUCCAAUAUCCAUUAAAAGAUUAUGCAAGAUGUUUUCAGGCUGUAGGAAGAUAUUGCCCCGGCUGUUGUUGCUUUGUGAUAAAGCUAAAGUGUACAGAAUGUACCACUGAGUUCCAGCAAAAUGGCCCUGGAUUUUGGAGGAUUCCGAAAAGAUCCUUGGAGAAAUGCCAAAGAUGUCAGGGCUAAGUAAUGUUAAUGAACGUGUCACUGUUUCAACCUUUUGGCAUUUGAUAAAGAUACGGACGCCACAUGGUUCAUGAAAAAGAGAAAGAAAAGAAAAAAACAAAACUAUGUAAACAUUUGACUAACCUCUCUAGGGAUGCUGAAGGUCAUUUGGUUUGAAAGGAGACUUCUGUUAUUAAUGAAGUUACUCGUUUUUCUGUUUUUUUAAAAUUGGAAUUCACUCGGCAUUGAUAUUUGUGGACUCUAAAAUUAUAACUGCAUUGAUAAAUAUUCCUUAAACUGAUGAAAACAAAAGAUACCAAUUCCAAAGAGUUAUUCUAAGGAUUUUUAACCAAACCUAGAUCAGUGAUAGUUUUCAUCGUAAAGAUUAUUUCCAAUUUGUUUUCACUGCUAGCAUCUCCCUUCCUGUAGUUAUUCAUAGCCUUUUGUAAUAUCCAAAGCUGAUUUCUAUUUAUAAGUGCAUGUUCAGUAUAGCCAUUUGUGAUAAGUAUUUUUAAGAUCCUUCAGAUGAACUGUCCAAAUGUCAAGCGUACAGUGACGUUUUGUAGUAAGCACAUACAUGUACAUGUACGUUUGUUCAUGUGUAGUCGUGGCUGUGUUUGUAGCGUAGGCUUGUCAUGGAAUACAGUGUCCAAUUUAUGCCAUUGACUGAUCCAAGUUUUUAGCUUUCCACUGUGAACAAAGUGUGCUCCAAUCUUAAGCUCCAAGCAGCUUUAUGAAAACUAUGCUUUAUAAUAUGUACAGUGUAGUGCAGCGUGUCUGUUCUUCGUCUCAGUCUCCCAAGCUUGCAUUUAGAAUUGUACAAUUAUUUUACAUGUUAUAGGUGUGUGUUUCGACACAAGAAGAUGGCAACUUGAGUUGCCAUCUGAUUUUGUCCGGAAGCGCACUGCAUGAACUGUUCAUGAAUUGCACAAGAGCUAGUACCCCUACGGUCCACUCUAAUUUAACGGCUUGUUCGGGGAAGUUUGGAGGCAAUUUCUAAAAGAUGCAUGUUGGGGGGGUUUGCUUCUGAAAAGCACGCCCCAAUCGCACCUGCACAUUUCACCUCGCAUGCAUGGCAUUUGACAUUUUCAGUAACGAGACAUCAGGAGCGAGUAUAUAUUCACGUAAGAGCAGCGUUAAAAUUCCGCCUCAUGAACUCUUGCCUGUACACAGAAUGCCUAGUUUACAUGUAAA
rnacentral:lncRNA from 1 species